rnacentral:rRNA from 1 species
GUCAUAGUGAUCCGGUGGUUCUGAAUGGAAGGGCCAUCGCUCAACGGAUAAAAGGUACUCCGGGGAUAACAGGCUGAUACCGCCCAAGAGUUCAUAUCGACGGCGGUGUUUGGCACCUCGAUGUCGGCUCAUCACAUCCUGGGGCUGAAGUAGGUCCCAAGGGUAUGGCUGUUCGCCAUUUAAAGUGGUACGCGAGCUGGGUUUAGAACGUCGUGAGACAGUUCGGUCCCUAUCUGCCGUGGGCGCUGGAGAACUGAGGGGGGCUGCUCCUAGUACGAGAGGACCGGAGUGGACGCAUCACUGGUGUUCGGGUUGUCAUGCCAAUGGCACUGCCCGGUAGCUAAAUGCGGAAGAGAUAAGUGCUGAAAGCAUCUAAGCACGAAACUUGCCCCGAGAUGAGUUCUCCCUGACUCCUUGAGAGUCCUGAAGGAACGUUGAAGACGACGACGUUGAUAGGCCGGGUGUGUAAGCGCAGCGAUGCGUUGAGCUAACCGGUACUAAUGAACCGUGAGGCUUAACCUUACAACGCCGAAGGUGUUU